GACGAACGCUGGCGGCGUGCUUAACACAUGCAAGUCGAACGGAAAGGCCCUGCUUGCAGGGUACUCGAGUGGCGAACGGGUGAGUAACACGUGGGUGAUCUGCCCUGCACUUCGGGAUAAGCCUGGGAAACUGGGUCUAAUACCGGAUAGGAGCCAUUUUUAGUGUGAUGGUUGGAAAGUUUUUUCGGUGUAGGAUGAGCUCGCGGCCUAUCAGCUUGUUGGUGGGGUAAUGGCCUACCAAGGCGGCGACGGGUAGCCGGCCUGGGAGGGUGGACGGCCACAUUGGGACUGGGAUACGGCCCAGACUCCGACGGGAGGCAGCAGUGGGGAAUGUUGCACAAUGGGCGCAAGCCUGAUGCAGCGACGCCGCGUGGGGGAUGACGGCCUUCGGGUUGUAAACUCCUUUCGCUAGGGACGAAGCUGUUUGUGACGGUACCUAGAUAAGAAGCACCGGCUAACUACGUG
rnacentral:rRNA from 1 species